rnacentral:tRNA from 1 species
GGAGUGGUGGCUGAGCGGCUAAAGGCGCAGGUCUCGAAAACCUGAGCAGGGCUUAUCACCCUGUCGAGGGUUCGAAUCCCUCCUGCUCCGCCA